rnacentral:rRNA from 1 species
UACGAAGGGGGGCUAGCGUUGCUCGGAAUCACUGGGCGUAAAGCGCACGUAGGCGGAUCUUUAAGUCAGGGGUGAAAUCCUGGAGCUCAACUCCAGAACUGCCUUUGAUACUGGGGAUCUCGAGUCCGGAAGAGGUGAGUGGAACUCCGAGUGUAGAGGUGAAAUUCGUAGAUAUUCGGAAGAACACCAGUGGCGAAGGCGGCUCACUGGCCGGUACUGACGCUGAGGUGCGAAAGCGUGGGGAGCAAACAGG